UUGAAUUAUCUAGCUUAUUAUUCAUCAGAGUUGGUUCUGGAUCACUUUUCCAAAUUCCAAACACACCCUCACAAGAUAGAGGAUUCAGCACCAUUGGUUACUGAAAAAGAGAACAUGCAGUGGGCUCUGAAGAUGGCUCUUCAUAUGAAGACUCUUCUUUGUUACAUGGGGUCUGGUUUGUUUAUUUAAACAAAAUUCUGUUUCUAAUGGUAUUACGAUCAUGGCUUUUAGAAAGUAUCUCUCCAUGAUACAUACUGGAAAAAGAAAUCAGUUUCAUUAUCUUAUGGUCACACUAUUUGUGUAGAGCUCAGCUGUGAAAAUCAUCUCCAUAAACACCACAAAGAUUUAUAAGAAUUUGCUUGUUUCAUUUGUCACUCAUCAGUUCUUUUCCUACAUCAUUUAUUGGAUGCUUGGUAUGUAUUAGAUGCCUUGAAACACAUUAAAGAGUAGAAGACAGCCCUUACUCUUAAGGAAGUUGUGAUCUGGUUGAGUCAAAGAAAAUGCCCUAGAAACAAGAGAUUAAAUAAACGUUUAUGGACAGAGGCUAAUAGGUGUCCCCCCACAUCUGCUCCUUCCUCAGUAAUGGAAUUCCAGUUUUUAGUUGGCCACCCAGGGUAAAGAUGCAUCUCUCAGUUUCCCUUGCCAGUGCCAAGGGCCAGUGCCAAAUCUGGACUGUCUUGGGUAAGAGGAAGUUUCUAGAACCUCCCUUAUGUGCCUCCUUCAGCCUUUCAUGUUUUCUUCUUGCUCACUGGAUGUGAAUGUAAUUGCUGGGGCUUCCGUGACCGUUCUGGACCACACAGAUGAGGGCCGCACCCUAGGAAUGGUGGAGCAGAGUCUGAGGGCGAAUGGGGGCCUGGCAUUUAUGGGACUGCCACACGGCCCUAGGCCGCUACCCCUGGGCUUCUCCAUGAAAGAUCAAUAAACUGCCACCUGUCUAUUAUUUUAGGUGUCUGAUACUUCCAGCUACUUGUAAUCCCAACAGGCACUUUCAACAAGUGUGUUUUAAGUGUGGAGCGGAUAAUAUACUGUGAGUAAUCAGAAUGGGGGAGUGCCAAGAGAGGCUUCUGAGAAUAUGCUAUCCCAGCAUGAUUCUUCUCUCACCUGCUCCUUAUCUUUUCUAUCUCACCAUUUCCUGAACAUGACACUCUCUCUCAACACUUUCUCUCGUCCUUACCUUUCCCUUCUGCAAUGCUUUCUCUAUGGACCUUCCUUCCCGUCUAGUUAAUUUUAUAAUUAAAUUAUAUAAUCCACAUAAGCAGUUAACACAGUUAAUUAAACUAUGUAAACACACAGUAUGUUUAGCUGUUAUUGUUAUUACUGACCUGCUCAAAUCUGGCUUCUGUUCUGAAACCUCUCUCAAGAUUCUUUCCGCUUCCCCAUUUUAUCAGAAACAACUAUCCUCUUAGUGUCCUAAUACCAGGCACUGAGCAGUACUCCAGAAACCCUACUGUUGAGGAAAGUGGCUGGCUUGUGUAGCUACUGCUCAAGAGGAAUGGGGCGCGGGGCGGGGUGCGGGCGGGCAGGAGGAAUGUGGCUCUUCUACAUUCCUUCCCCUUUGCCUUCUGGCGGCUUCUUUGUCACUGUGUCCCCUCCCCAUCCCUCUGCCUCUGUUUCUAUGGCUAGUUCUUCGUGUUCAAUAGCAACACAGCUUCAACUCUGCUUUAGCUCUGCCAGCAUUAUAACCUUUUCUGUUCGGAGCGUCAGGGACGUAGUGGCAAGCAGAUCAGAGUGUGGGGCUGAGAGCAGGCAAGCUGUGCUGGCAAGAUUACCCCACCUCCUUCUGUGAUAACUAUGGGGCCGGCAUUGUAGGACCAACAGUGUUGCUCUGCGCUUUGAUUUCCAGGUGUUUCUGCUCAGAUGGGAUUGCUCUGCCAACAUGAUAGAUGUGAGGGGCUGCAUCUCAGAUACAACCAUGCUCAGCUGUACUCAGGCAUCCUUCUGGCACUUUCCCACCUCCAGCCUGUGGGGGCUGGGGGCACAGUCACGCAGGUGUCUGUGCAUCUGACCAUGGAUGGCACAAGCCAGCAUUAUUCUGGUGUCUGGGUUGGGCUUGUACAUAGACUUCUUGCAUUGUCUUUGGGAGUUCAGACACAUGAAAAAAAAAAGGCCCUGUUGAGAAUAAUGAGGGCCCUGAUGCUGAUGGGAUGAGGCAGUUUCACUCCAGAUGGUGGUCUUUAGCAAAAGAAACUGGUGCUGUCAGACUUGAGGUUUUCAGUCACUGAAGAAGAAUGACUGGUUGAGGAUCAUUUACACAGUCCCUCCCUUUUUCUUGGCUUUGUCUCUGUUUAGAGAACCAAGUGAAGAGGUCUGUCCAGCUUCCUCCUGUUGGUGCUGCCAUACUGAUGUUGCCUGGCUUUUGUACCACGUUCCGCAGUGGUAUGUCCCUGAGGCCAGCAUACGCCAGGGCCAUAUUUCAUAGUAAUUGCCUAUUUCAUUGAGACCCCAAUAGGGCAAAUUCUUACCUCCUUAUUCAAAAACUUUCUUCUGAUAAUAGGUGAUUACAAUAUGGCCCUACAUCUAAGCCCAUCCACCCAUGAUAUCCAAUGAGCAAAAUUCCCCAGGUGAAUAUUAUUACUUUUUUUUUUUAAUGAAGAGGUUGGGGAAAUUGAACUCUAAUAUUUCUUUCUGUGCUACGGUUUUUAAAGUUUUGCUUUAUUGAGUUAAUGCAUAGUUUUAAAUACAGUUAGCCCAGACCUCCAAUAUGAAAAACAGCAUAACUUGUGUUUAGUGAAAAGUAGCAGUUGAAAAGGAGAAUUGAAAGUAUUUCUGGAAUUGUUAAACUGGAAAAUAUCUUUAAAGAAAUUUGCAGCAUACAGUGGGUAAGGAACCACCUAAUAGCUGAUAUAUAAACUAAAGGUAUCUUAUGUUUUUCUCUGGGUUUUUUAAAAAAACCUGGAGUAAGUAGGAUUUACAGACGGAGGAAAACCUGGCUUCCAAAUACUGAGGAAAAUGUUCUUGAGUUUCAUUGCUUACAUAUCAUUGCUUUGCACAGGAGGAAUUUAACGAUUUUCCAAACAGCUCUAGUGUUUCAUCAGGACAGAGUACUCACAAAGAAUCCUUCCUCUCUCUCUUUUUUAUAAUACUUUUAUUUUAUUUAUUUAUUUUUGGCUGUGCUGGGUCUUCAGUUGCUGCGUGGGCUUUUCUCUGGUUGUGGUAAGCACUGGCUCCUCUCCCUGUGGCGUGCAUGCUUCUUUCUGGGUGGCUUCUCUUGUAGAGCACGGGCUCUUUGCUCAAGAGCUCCAGUAGUCAGGCUCCCCAGCUCUAGGGCACAGGCUCAGUAGGUGUGGCCCAGGGGCUUAGUUGCUCCAGGGCAUGUGGGAUCUUCCUGGACCAGGGAUUGAACUCCUGUUUCCUGCACUGGCAGGCGGCUUCUUUACCACUGAGCCUCCAGGGAAGCCCUCCUCCGUCUUUUAUUUACUGAAAUAGAUGAAAGGAACUAACAAUUUUUCCUUGCAGAGUGAAAGCCCCUCCCCACGAGGUUGGUACCUGGAGGCUUAGCAGCCUUGGGGAAACCUACGCAGCACAAAGCAUUGUGGGAGCACAACAGGGGCUGCUUCCGGGAGCUCAGGUUGAGAUGUGCCCUCUCCAGCAAGGAGAAAUCUGGUGCCAACAGCUGCCUUGGAAGAAGUUAAAGGCCUUAGAACCUCCCGUGUGCCCAUUUCUCUGGACGACAUACUCCAAGAUGAAAGGCAGUGUGGUAACAAGUGUUCGGAUUGACUUUGGACAUUCAGUCUCCAAGGAGAGAUCCUAUCUCGUCAUUUCUUCCACCUGGUAGGAGGGGGAAAAAAGAGCAAAAUGUAAUUUCUGCUUCCAAGGAGCUGGAUUAAUUUCUCUCUUAAGUUGUUCCUCUUUAAAGAGAGUGGCCCCACUCAGCUUUCUAAGUUGUGAGAAACAGAUUCACUCAUGUUCCCCUUAGUGGUAAGAAUUCAUGGUAAAGAUUCUGUAAAAUCCUUUCUGGGGAGAAGGAUUGGGGUGGGGUUUUUUCUUGCUUGAUUCAUUAUUAUAUUUUUUGCAUAUGUAUAUAUAUCAUAGAAAGAAUGUAAGAUUGCAGUUGAAUAAGUACAUAAAAUAUAAACAAAUAUGUGAGCUCCUAGUGACACUAAAAAUGAAAUAAAACUCAUUGGUCACCAUUGAAGGUUGCUAGGGUACCACCUCAAUAUUCUGAAAACAAUAAAAUAAUACAAACAAUCUAGCAAUUAUCUGUCUUCCUUUUAUACUGUAUUUAAUCUAAUCAAUUGUUAAGGAUUUGUUAAGGAUUCCUUAUAGAAGAAUUGACUGAAUUCAGACUUAAAUUGAAGAAAGUAGGGAAAACCACUAGACCAUUCAGGUAUGACCUAAAUCAAAUCCCUUAUGAUUAUACAGUGGAAGUGAGA